AGUUCAAGGGAGUAAGAGCAUAGGGGGAAUGCCUUGGCACUAGGAGCCGAAGAAGGUCGUGAUAAGCUGCGAAAA
rnacentral:rRNA from 1 species